rnacentral:lncRNA from 1 species
AUUUGAUUUUGCCAUGUGAUUAUGGACUUUCGAAAUUUGAUUUUCCUCUAAGUUCAGUAUUUUUGUGAUUUUACUUUUUUCUCAUGUCAUGUUGUUCGUCAUCUGUGAACUUAUACAAAAAUAUUCUCCUCUGAAACCAAACUUGGCAGAAGUCAUGUAAGUCAUCAUUGAGGCAUUAAGUUUUUAAAAAUGUGUCUGAUGACCCCUCCUGCCAACCAAGGAUGCAGACUUGACCAAGAAAAGAACAUAGGGUGGGGUACAAUACAAUAGUCAUGGACUUUUCUAUUUAAUAUAAAAAAAAAAUGUGCAGGUAUGAUUGUCAAUGAGACAACUUUUCACAC